AUUGAACGCUGGCGGCAUGCCUUACACAUGCAAGUCGAACGGUAACAGGUUAAGCUGACGAGUGGCGAACGGGUGAGUAAUGUAUCGGAACGUGCUCAGUCGUGGGGGAUAACUGCUCGAAAGAGCAGCUAAUACAGCAUACGACCUGAGGGUGAAAGCGGGGGAUCGCAAGACCUCGCGCGAUGGGAGCGGCCGAGAUCAGAUUAGGGAGUUGGUGAGGUAAAGGCUCACCACGCCGACGAUCUGUAGCUGGACUGGGAGGACGACCAGCAACCCUGGGACUGGGACACGGCCCAGACGCCUACGGGAGGCAGCAGUGGGGAAUUUUGGACAAUGGGCGCAAGCCUGAUCCAGCCAUGCCGCGUGCGGGAAGAAGGCCUUCGGGUUGUAAAGCGCUUUUGUCAGGGAAGAAAAGGUUCUGGCUAAUACCUGGGACUCAUGACGGUACCUGAAGAAUAAGCACCGGCUAACUACGUGCCAGCAGCCGCCGUAAGAC
rnacentral:rRNA from 1 species